GCACUGCAGAGGAGUCCCAUACUAGGACGAAACAACCGUCCAGUGC
rnacentral:hammerhead_ribozyme from 1 species